UACGUAGGGGGCAAGCGUUGUCCGGAUUUAUUGGGCGUAAAGAGCGUGUAGGCGGCCAGGUAGGUCUGCUGUGAAAACUCGAGGCUCAACCUCGAGACGUCGGCGGAAACCAUCUGGCUAGAGUCCGGAAGAGGAGAGUGGAAUUCCUGGUGUAGCGGGGAAAUGCGCAGAUAUCAGGAGGAACACCGAGGGCGAAGGCAGCUCGCUGGGACGGUACUGACGCUGAGGCGCGAAAGCGUGGGGAGCGAACAGG
rnacentral:rRNA from 1 species